GUCUUGGAUUGGUUAAUGACAAGGAAUAUUAUAUUUGUGUUUGAUUAGGACUUUGGAGAAGCUCGGGAUAGAGGACCGUGCUUGUGGCUACGUGAUAUCGGAAACCAGCGAAUUGAAAGGUAAGGGUAAGGGCAAGCUGGACCAGGCCUGAGGUGGAGAGCUCCGAGGUGAAAUGUACAUAGCCAGCCGUUCGAUCACCACGGUCGAGGAGUGUGUCAGGACGGAGAUUACCUAACCACUCAUUUUGCCUUAGUAUGGCUGUUGAUGUAUAUAGACUUUGUAACUUUUGUAAAUGACUUUUAAACUGUCAUUUUUGGGAUCCCUUGUACAUAAACAAUGUUUAGUAAUGAAAAUGUAUCUUUU